rnacentral:misc_RNA from 1 species
CGCACAUUGCGCCCAUUGGUAUUCCGAUGGGCACGUCUGUUUGAGCGUCAUCUCAACCCUUCGGUUGACCUUUAUCCGUCACCCGGUCGUGAGCCCGGCCCUUUUCCGGCCCCGGCUUUAAAGUUGCACGCUCCGCGGGUCCCCCCACCAGCGAAAUAUAGUAGAUUUUCUAACUGUUUCGGCAGGUGGCCGGUCAGGAUUCCGCCUGAACAAACCUAUCUUUCUAAGGUUUGACCUCAGAUCAGACGAGGAUACCCGCUGAACUUAA